rnacentral:lncRNA from 1 species
CAGACCUGGAGUUCCUGGAGGUCACUGGGAGGUCACUGGUGUUACUGGGGGUUACUGGUGUUACUGGGAGGUUACUGGGCGGUCACUGGGAGGUUACUGGUCCAUACUGGUGUCACUGGUGGCCCUUGACCCGUCAGACCUGGAGUUCCUGGAGGUUCUGACCGAGGGCCUGGGGCCGGUGCUGCUGGUGCGGGACGGGGACGGCGAGGGAGACCAGUAUGGAACUGGGAGCACUGGGAGCACUGGGAACGGCGCUGGGGAGCCCUGAGAGACCAGUGCUCCCAGUAUGGAACUGGGAAUGGAACUGGGAGCACUGGGAAUGGAACUGGGAGCACUGGGAGACCAGUAUGGAACUGGGAGCACUGGGAGCACUGGGAACGGCGCUGGGGAGCCCUGAGAGACCAGUAUGGAACUGGGAGUGGAACUGGGAGCACUGGGAGCACUGGGAACGGGGCUGGGGAGCCCUGAGAGACCAGUAUGGAACUGGGAGCACUGGGAGCACUGGGAAUGGGACUGGGAGCACUGAGAGACCGGUAUGGAACUGGGAAUGGAACUGGGAGUACUGGGAAUGGAACUGGGAGUACUGGGAAUGGAACUGGAAUGGGCCCAGUGCUCCCAGUAUGGGACUGGGAUGGUCCCAGUGCUCCCAGUAUGGGACUGGGAUGGGCCCAGUGCUCCCAGUAUGGAACUGGGAUGGUCCCAGUGCUCCCAGUAUGGGACUGGAAUGGUCCCAGUGCUCCCAGUAUGGAACUGGGAUGGUCCCAGUGCUCCCAGUAUGGGACUGGGAAUGGUCCCAGUGCUCCCAGUAUGGAACUGGGAUGGGCCCAGUGCUCCCAGUAUGGGACUGGGAUGGGCCCAGUGCUCCCAGUAUGGAACUGGGAUGGUUUUUUGCACUUUGAUCUCACCAAAGACCCUCAAUAAAUGACCCAAAAAUGGAAUUUUUGGGAGAAAAAGGAGCCGGAAGUUGCAGUUCUUGACCGCGGA